GGUUCGAUGGUGUAGGGGUUAUCACACUUUGUCUUACAUCUACAAUGUGGAGAAGAGCUAUGUAUCACAAGAGGUCCCCGGUUCGAAACCGGGUCGAACCA